UCCCUGGCAGUCCAGUGGUUAAGAGUCUGAGUUCCCAAUUCAGGGGGUCCAGGUUCGAUUCCUGAUCAGGGUA
rnacentral:tRNA from 1 species